AAUAGAUACCCGGGUAGUCCACGCCGUAAACGAUGAGUGCUAAGUGUUAGAGGGUUUCCGCCCUUUAGUGCUGAAGUCAACGCAUUAAGCACUCCACCUGGGGAGUACGGUCGCAAGACUGAAACUCAAAGGAAUUGACGGGGGCCCGCACAAGCGGUGGAGCAUGUGGUUUAAUUCGAAGCAACGCGAAGAACCUUACCAGGUCUUGACAUCCUCUGACACUCCUAGAGAUAGGGCGUUCCCUUCGGGGACAGAGUGACAGGUGGUGCAUGGUUGUCGUCAGCUCGUGUCGUGAGAUGUUGGGUUAAGUCCCGCAACGAGCGCAACCCUUGAUCUUAGUUGCCAGCAUUCAGUUGGGCACUCUAAGGUGACUGCCGGUGACAAACCGGAGGAAGGUGGGGAUGACGUCAAAUCAUCAUGCCCCUUAUGGCCUGGGCUACACACGUGCUACAAUGGAUGGUACAAAGGGCAGCGAAACCGCGAGGUUAAGCCAAUCCCAUAAAAACCAUUCUCAGUUCGGAUUGCAGGCUGCAACG
rnacentral:rRNA from 1 species